GAGUUUGAUCUUGGCUCAGGACGAACGCUGGCGGCGUGCCUAAUACAUGCAAGUCGAGCGGAUCUUCAUUUGCUUGCUUUUGAAGAUCAGCGGCGGACGGGUGAGUAACACGUGGGCAACCUGCCUGUAAGACUGGGAUAACUUCGGGAAACCGGAGCUAAUACCGGAUAAUCCUUUUCCUCUCAUGAGGAAAAGCUGAAAGACGGUUUCGGCUGUCACUUACAGAUGGGCCCGCGGCGCAUUAGCUAGUUGGUGAGGUAACGGCUCACCAAGGCGACGAUGCGUAGCCGACCUGAGAGGGUGAUCGGCCACACUGGGACUGAGACACGGCCCAGACUCCUACGGGAGGCAGCAGUAGGGAAUCUUCCGCAAUGGACGAAAGUCUGACGGAGCAACGCCGCGUGAGCGAUGAAGGCCUUCGGUC
rnacentral:rRNA from 1 species